AGAACGAACGCUGGCGGCAGGCUUAACACAUGCAAGUCGAACGCGUGUAGCAAUGCACGAGUGGCGCACGGGUGAGUAACGCGUGGAUAUCUGCCUUUUGGUUCGGAAUAACCCCGGGAAACUGGGGCUAAUACCGGAUGGUUCCUACGGGAUAAAGAUUUAUCGCCAAAAGAUGAGUCCGCGUCCGAUUAGCUAGUUGGUGGGGUAAUGGCCUACCAAGGCGACGAUCGGUAGCUGGUCUGAGAGGACGAUCAGCCACACUGGGACUGAGACACGGCCCAGACUCCUACGGGAGGCAGCAGUGGGGAAUAUUGGACAAUGGGGGCAACCCUGAUCCAGCCAUGCCGCGUGAGUGAUGAAGGCCUUCGGGUUGUAAAGCUCUUUUGGCGGGACGAUGAUGACGGUACCCGCAGAAUAAGCCCGGCUAACUUCGUGCCAGCAGCCGC
rnacentral:rRNA from 1 species